AUUGUGUUUCCUCCCAUCUCCGCUUUCCCUGGUGUGUACAUGUACACACCUGCAGAUGGCUAUGUGCUUGCACACCUGCACAUACAAGAUUUUCAAAAGAUACAAAUUUAGGCUUGGGGAGGUCUCUGCGUAUUUGCUGGAGCGGCUCAACACAGGCAGAGGGACAUGGGAUGACAGUGCACAUUUGUCUGCCUUUCUGUGGAGUUUGGCUUUCCAAAGGAGCAUUUCUGUACCAGCACAUCUGAGAAACAGCAGUCACUUUGGUAAUGCUGACCCUGAAGAAGAGUCACAAAAACUAGUAAUCUCCCUGGAUGGUGAGCCUUCAGUUCAUGAUCCUUAGUUUUCAGCCUUAGCAUACCGGCAUAGCCAGGAAGUGCCUUUCUCUUUUAGUAAUUUUCUGUUUUAAAACUGAUUUGAUUAAAGUGGGAGACUAAAAAUGCUGAGAAAAAAAAAUAAAAAGAAAAGCAGUCCUUUCUCAAAGAUUAGUAGGUAAAUUGCUUGUCAUGGAAAGCUCCUACAGUACCUCUGCAUUAGCUCAGCCUCCCUUCUCCAUAAGCCUUGUGAAGAUUUUAGGUGGCAGGCAGCCCUUGCCUGGACAGAGCCAUAGUGCGUUUUUUGCAGCUGAUACCUUCCAACCUGUAGGUAAUUAAAAACGUUCCCCUUUGGUAGGCUUGAUUGCUCUGAAGGUUUCAGUCUGCGGGCUUUUUGUGGGUAAAUUCCCCUCAAACCGUAUGGCAGCUCUUAGGGAUGAUGGUCAUUCAGGCAUCUGUGAUGGCGACAGCAAGUUGAAUAUGAGCCCGCAGUGUGCCCUGGCAGCCAGGAGGGCCAACCGUACCCUGGGGUGCACCAAGCACGGCAUUGCUAGUCGGUUGAGGGAAGUGAUUGUCCCGCUCUGCUCUGCGCUGGUGCGGCCUCACCUCGAGCACUGUGUGCAGCUCUGGGCACCACAGUACAAAAAGGGUGGGAAACUGUUGGAGAGUGUCCAGAGGAGGGCAACGAAGAUGGUGAAGGGCCUAGAGGGGAGGACGUAUGAGGAGCAGCUGAGGUCACUGGGCCUGUUCAGCCUGGAGGAGAGGAGGCUGAGGGGGGACCUCAUCGCAAUCUACAACUUCCUUGCGAGGGGGAGUGGACGGGAAGGCGCCAAUCUGUUCUCUUUAGUCACCAGUGAUAGGACUCGAGGGAACGGUGUCAAGCUGAGGCAGGGGAGGUUCAGGCUGGACAUCAGGAAGAGGUUCUUCACCGAGAGGGUGGUUGUGCACUGGAACAGGCUCCCCAGUGAAGUAGUCACUGCACCAAGCCUGUUGGAAGCCUUAAGAAGCGUUUGGACUGUGCGCUUAGUCACAUGGGCUAAAGUUUUGGGUAGACCUGUGCGGUGCCAGGAAUUGGACUUGAUGAUCCUUAUGGGUCUCUUCCAACUCGGGAUAUUCUAUGAUUCUAUGGUCAGAAAGUACCUGUGGGGACACAGGCGGCUGUGGGAGCCUGCAGGGGGCAGUGGGGCCUGGGGGUGCCACCCACCAAAGGGACCCGUGCACAGAUUUAUGAAGCCAUGCUGUGUUCUGCCACUGCUUCCAGUGCAAGUGUCAAAAGGAGAAAAAACAAAGGUAGAAGUCAAUAUAUGGAAUACCCUUUUAAUCCUUUCACCAAUGUUCACAGCCUUAUUUCUUUCACACGUUAUUGGGGAUUUGUAGAUGUAUUUGCUUCCAGUUUGAUUGAAUUAAUGGAUGUAUUUGACUGUGCUGUUUUAUUUUAUUUUUUUCUUUCCUUCUUUUAUUCAGGAAAUACAUUUUGUUAUGGUACUGUUUUUCAGAGAGACUGCUAUUAUUUCCUUUCAUGUUUACCAACUGAUUGAAAUCUGUUUUUGGCUUUAGUAGUAGAUUCUGACUGGAAUGGAUGCUGCACUUUAUAGAUAGCUUUCAAUUGUUCUACAGCAAUAAAAAGUUUAUUAAAAUGACAUGGUUUUGCAACAUGACAUACUGCUAUUGUCGCUGUCCAGGAAAUGAAUUUGCAACAGACUUCUUUCCGAUGAUUCUUCUGGCAAUUGUUUUUUCUGUUUCUGACAGCCUUUACAGGCUACCCUCAAUUCCUGCGAUUUGCAAUAAUGUUUUAAAAAUAGGUUUUAAUUCUGAAGUGGCAGCUUGAAUUGAGGAUAAAUCAUACCAUUCUCAUGAGAAAAAAAAAAUCCUGAUAUGGAUGAGAAUUACAUUUACUUGUGUUUUCUCCUGUAAAUAUGUUUUUUGGGGGUGUUGGUCUGCUCUUUACAUAUGAAUUGAACGAACUGAAAGAUGAUAACAUGCUCACCAGUAUGUGUUUCUUUGAGAAAAGCUUCUGGAGUUGGCAGUGAACAUCCACAGUCAGUAGCAGAGCUGAAAUGCAGCCUCAGGAAAAGUCACAGGCACUUUGGAAACCUGGGUGAUUAAAUUCAGCCUCUUCGGCUUGGCCUGUUCCACAGUCCGUGGAAAGACUCAAUUCUUUUUCUUCCAGACUUUAAGUAGAAGAUAAUUAGCAUAACUGCAGUAGUUUCUGGUCCUAAUAUUUUCUUCCCAAAGCCUUUUCCAUGAAACUCUUUGUCGGGGAACAUGAACCUGGGUUUUAGCCUCUGAAUUAUACCAGAGCAUCCCCAUGCCCAAGCAGUGUUGAACUAAAUCAUAAACUGGAUGUUGGUUUAUGUUAUUUCUUCAUUGUAUAUUUGUCAAGGCAGCUGGAGAGAAGACCCAGAUUAUUUUUUCAAAUGCUUUGUGUCAUGCCUGUUGUGCGACUGUGAAACUGGCCACGUAGUUAGCAAGAACAUCUCCGUACUGGUCGUAUGGAGCAGUGGCGAGAUGCACGAGGUAAAGGCAUUUGUUUCCACCUUCCUGGGCUACCUUCCUGCUGCUUGCCUUUGCUCCUGUUCCCAGUGCCUCUGCCCUAAUGAAACAAGGGAGAUCUCAGAGCAAGGUAAAAAAGGUGAGUUGCUUCCCCUGCGUGAAGUACUAAGGGAAAGGAGGGUGCAGCAGAAGGAUUAAGAAAUAAACCUUGAUCCCUGCUUUUGUGGCAGCACCUGUGUCCCUAACUAAGGAAGAAAGUAACCACAAGUGUCAGCAGCAGAACCAGAGGUUCAACUUCAGGAUGUUUAAAACACGUUCAAAACAUGCGCUGCCCUUCACUUCCUUGCUCUCAACUUCUCUUUCUUUGCUUUUACUUAACCUGCCCGUGUGGUUCUUCCCCAUUCCCUCCAUUCUCUCUGUGCUCCGGGGCUCAGGGACGGGUGGGAUGGGGACCCCGGGACUGUGGGGACAGGCAGGAGGAGGGAGAGGGUGCGGGAGGCCGCUGCCACCUCCUCUGAACAGCUCGAGGUUCUUGCUUUUUGGUCAGAGACAGCAGAAGGAGGUUGGGUGCCGUUACAUCACUGCUGUGAAAUGCAUGUUAAUGGCUCGUCAGCUCGGCUCCACGUUUGGUGGGAGGGAAAGCCGGCGUGUCUGGCAGCACCAGGCCCUGCAGCAAACCGCAGUGUGCUGGUGCUGGAGGUGGUACUGGCCCCAGCUGCUGCCGCUGUGGUUUUUUUUUUUUUUUUUUUUGGUGGAGAAAAGUAAAUCAAACUUUGGCUCCUGCUUUACGGUUUGCCGUAGGCUCCUUUUGCUGACUGUGUUACUUUGCAAUCGUAUUUUAGAGACAGUUUUAUCACUGAGCUCUUAAAGAAACCAACCCCAUGUGGAUAACACCCUGCAAGUGUGAUGUCCUGGCAGGGACGUGUCAGCCCAGUCUGGUUUUUGGCUGACAAGCCCAUGGAGCAACCUGCAGCCUCUGUGCCUUCAUCUGCUUUUGGGAUUGAGGAGAGCAGAGGAGGGCUGGCAUGGCGAGCUAGCUGGUGCUGCGUGGACCAGGCAUCCUGUGCCAAACACGGGGCUCUGCUCCAGAUACAAAGGAAGAAAUGAGCACUUUGCAGUGAAGCCCAGGGAACUAUCAGGGCUGAAACUGGAGGUGAACAAGGGGACUUUCAACAGAGAAGAGAGCGGGAUGUUACAGGCAGAUGGCAUGCAAAGGAUCCAGGAAUGAAAAAUCAGUCUCACAGGGGCGAGAAGUUGGACUGUGAAAUACUGGAGGUUGCUGUAAGGCUGCUAAAAGACGCCGUUAGGGCAGAAUACACAGAAUAUACAUAGAUCCAGAAAUGCAACACGUGGGGCAACGCAGUGGCCAAGCAUGUUGCUUGGGCACACCAGUUGAGCUCUGCCGAGCUGCUGUUUUCUUGGCCCUCUGGUUGCUGCCCGGUGAGGCAGCUGGUGGUCAUAUUUGUUGUCUAUUUGGUGAUUGUAUUUGUUGUCUAUGAAAAUUAUUUUUGCUUAUGCUUGAGUGUUUUUUUUUUAUUAUUAUUUUUUUAUUUAGUAAACUUCCAGCUCAGAGGAAGUGAACAUCUGCCAGGCCUCAAGGCAGAGAAGUGUGCAGAGGAGACCCUUUGGUUCCCAACGGCAGUGUAUAAGUGCAGCUGCACAUGGAAACCCCACCGCGCCAGUUCAGGUGCCCUUAUGGAAAUUGCUUUUGCUUUUCACCUGCCCAGUCACCUCCUGGUGGCUUGAAUACAUCCUCACUCCACUCAAAAUGAGAGUUAUGUUUUACUUCCUAUUUCUACUCUUUUCACAAACAAAUCUCUGUUUGCUUUUCCCUAGAGGGAGGAGGAAGAAAAUCAGCCUUCACACCUCCCUUCAGACCUUCACCUGGCUCUGGUGCUGCAGGUUGCCAGACGCAGGGCAGGAGAACCAUGUGAACUGGGCAGACAAGAAAACCAAAUGUCUCAUUUCUUCAUAUCCACUUCUUCCUUUCCUGCUCCUGCAGCUUGUCUCUAGUGGAGGGGACCAGACCAGCAGGGAUUUGAGGGACUGGCUGCUCUGCAUGAUCUCCCUGCACAGGGACAACAGCAGAAGUGCUGGGCUGCCUUUUCAAUCCAAAAUGCAAUAAACCCCACAGUAAAAGUUGUCGUGUCCAGUACUGUGUCCAGGUAAGGAACGUGUGGGAGAGCAAGGGACAGCUUGGCCCGCCUAACACAGGUUUCUCUCUCUCUCUCUCUCUCUUUCUCUCUAGGCAGAAAAGGCAAAGCAUAACACAUGGAAUUCAAAGCAGUAACAUUCUUCUGCAGAAAAAAAUGACACUGAGAACACCAACCAAAAACUUUCCCAGUGAUGUGACAGGCGAGCUACAGGAGAGUAAUGUGAAGAAGUCUAACACGGCAGAGGUAAUUAAAAAGAAACUGAAGAUAGAAACUGUCAGCUGGAGGUGUACAGUGCAGCAGAGCAUGAGGAGCUUAAGGACUUUUCAGAAAACCAGGGCAGCAAGUCCCAAAUUGCCAUACAGCAGUAAUACAUCAGGCCCGCAGGUGCAAGUGUUCAUUUCAAAUCAUAGCUUGUAAGAAAUUAAUGACUUGUUCCAUAAAAACAUAUUUUUCUGUUUUAGAAUCAUGUUGUGCAUUAUACUGUUCUAAUGGACAACAUCAACUUGAUGACUGUUGGGAUGUAUGCAGCUUUCUUCCAUCCAGGCUAGCCUGUGUUUGUCACGGGGGGGGUAACGCAGCGGUGUUAUUUGCCAGGGACACAGAAACAGCUGGAGCCUGCCCUCACACACAAGGAGCCCCACAAAAACCUCAGUGCCUUAACAGGGCUGCCCGAAUCCCGAGUACAGGGCCGGCAGGGCAGGGCAGGAGGCGUCCCUCGUGCCUCAGCCAGGUGAGGACAGAGGCCCUGGCAUUGCUGUCGUGGCUUUUGUGGCCUCCGCAGUGCGUGUGCGAGCUGGUGACGGCUGCUUCUCCUGGAAGAGUCUCGGUAUCUCUAGUGGUGAGGGGGAGUUUUUCAGCACUUGAAGGGAGCCUACAGAAAAAAUGGAGAGU